rnacentral:rRNA from 1 species
CCUACGGGAGGCAGCAGUGGGGAAUAUUCCACAAUGGGGGAAACCCUGAUGCAGCGACGCCGCGUGAGUGAAGAAGUAUUUCGGUAUGUAAAGCUCUAUCAGCAGGGAAGAAAAUGACGGUACCUGAUUAAGAAGCCCCGGCUAACUACGUGCCAGCAGCCGCUGUAAUACGUAGGGGGCAAGCGUUAUCCGGAUUUACUGGGUGUAAAGGGAGCGGAGACGGCAGCACAAGUCUGGAGUGAAAUGCCUGGGCUUAACCCCGGAACUGCUUUGGAAACUGUGCAGCUAGAGUGCAGGAGAGGUAAGUGGAAUUCCUAGUAUAGCGGUGAAAUGCGUAGAUAUUAGGAGGAACACCAGUGGCGAAGGCGGCUUACUGGACUGUAACUGACGUUGAGGCUCGAAAGCGUGGGGAGCAAACAGGAUUAGAUACCCUGGUAGUC